UCCCGGCCCGGGUCGGGCCGGGGAUCGAUGGCGCUACCGCCGCUGGGAUGCGCGUUCGCGGCGUGCGCCGGGCG
rnacentral:tRNA from 1 species